AUUGAACGCUGGCGGCAUGCCUUACACAUGCAAGUCGAACGGCAGCACGGGAGCGAUCCUGGUGGCGAGUGGCGAACGGGUGAGUAAUGUAUCGGAACGUACCUUUCAGUGGGGGAUAACGUAGCGAAAGUUACGCUAAUACCGCAUAUUCUGUGAGCAGGAAAGCAGGGGAUCGCAAGACCUUGCGCUGAUUGAGCGGCCGAUAUCAGAUUAGCUAGUUGGUGAGGUAAAGGCUCACCAAGGCGACGAUCUGUAGCGGGUCUGAGAGGAUGAUCCGCCACACUGGAACUGAGACACGGUCCAGACUCCUACGGGAGGCAGCAGUGGGGAAUUUUGGACAAUGGGCGCAAGCCUGAUCCAGCCAUGCCGCGUGAGUGAAGAAGGCC
rnacentral:rRNA from 1 species